rnacentral:rRNA from 1 species
UAAAGUGGCGAACGGCUGAGUAACACGUGGGCAACCUGCCCUUUUGCACUGGGAUAGCCUCGGGAAACCGAGGUUAAUACCGGAUACUCCAUAUUUGUCGCAUGGCGAAUAUGGGAAAGCUCCGGCGGCAAAGGAUGGGCCCGCGGCCUGUUAGCUAGUUGGUGGGGUAGUGGCCUACCAAGGCAAUGAUGGGUAGCCGGGUUGAGAGACCGACCGGCCAGAUUGGGACUGAGACACGGCCCAGACUCCUACGGGAGGCAGCAGAG